GACGAACGCUGGCGGCGUGCUUAACACAUGCAAGUCGAACGGUGAAGGCGGAGCUUGCUCUGCCGGAUCAGUGGCGAACGGGUGAGUAACACGUGGGCAACCUGCCCCUCACUUCGGGAUAACUCCGGGAAACCGGGGCUAAUACCGGAUACGACCUCCUUGGGCAUCUUUGGAGGUGGAAAGUUUUUCGGUGAGGGAUGGGCCCGCGGCCUAUCAGCUUGUUUGUGAGGUAGUGGCUCACCAAGGCGACGACGGGUAGCCGGCCGGAGAGGGCGACCGGCCACACUGGGACUGAGACACGGCCCAGACUCCGACGGGAGGCAGCAGGGGUGAAUAUUGCGCAAGUGGCGAAAGCCUGACGCAGCAACGCCGCGUGCGGGAUGAAGGCCUUCGGGUUGUAAACCGCUUUCAGCAGGGAAGAAGCCGCAAGGUGACGGUACCCGCAGAAGAAGCACCGGCUAACUACGUGCCAGCCGCCGCCGUAA
rnacentral:rRNA from 1 species